CAUAGAUAAUAUAGAAGACAGCGCGCUAGCGGAUCUAGUCUAUGUAUAUCUAUGGUCGUUACGUCUGGUAGCAUCUCUGGCUGCUGUUGACCUUGUUUUUGGAGUAAAACACGGUGGAAGCUGAAUUAGUGAGGAUGACUCCUGCUCCUGUCAUCUCUAAGCUCCUCACACAUCUUUACCUGCACAUGAGGAAAAUCACUCCUGUAGAAUGCAGUGGUUCAUCAGAACCUCUGGGGAUCCUGUGGAUUCUGUGGAUCCUGUGGGUUGCAGGGUGGGUCCUACCUAGACCAGGCUGAUCCUGGACCAUCCCACAGAUGCUCAAUCAGAUGUGGAUGUGGGGAGUGUGGAACCCAGAUGUUCAGAGGGAGAUGAUGCCACAUCUGGUCCAGCUGAUGGAAGGUCUUGAAGUUCUCUGACUGGCCUCGACUGAAGAUGGUCCUCUCUCUGGAUUUAAGGUUCAGAUGCUCAGUAACAAACUCCACCAAUGAGCCAACAGGGAAGCUUUAGGUUUAUUAAAUGUUGCUAUGAAGGUUUCACUGUUUUUCUUUGUGAAUGCAAUGAGCUCCAACUGAAACUUGAAUUAGAACUUAGAAGUAAAUCCUUCCAUCUGAAAGGAUUUAGUUGCAUUAAUAACCUCAUAACAUUCUAAUUUUUACUCCAGUCUUGGUUGGAAAUAGAAUCUCUGUAUUGAUUCAGGUAAAAACUGAACUUCACAGCAUGUUGGAGCAAAACAACCAGAUGAAAACUGUGAUGGUGUUGGAUUGUCAGACCGUAAUGUUGCAGCUCAAAGCAGCUUUUCUAGCUCAGUUCAUUCUGACAUUCAGCUAUGAAUCAACACAGCAGAUGGUGAUCCAUGCUGUGGAAGUCUCACAUCUCCUGAUUUAAUGGAGCUGCUUUGCACUUUUUACACUGUUUAUUCACCAACACUUUAUUUAAUAAAAGUCCCAUCUAGUUUUUAUGAGGAAUGUGAUGUUUUAAUUUCUCUGUGAAUAACUGCAGUCUAAUGUAACAGCUGGAGUUGUAACAUCUGUCCUGAUAUUGAUCAUGAAGUAUUGAUCAGAAUACUUAUGGUUAGCAGUCAUCCCUGAAGUUUUACAUUAAAAUCUUUACUUAUGUUGUGAACUUUGGUAAGAAGCAGAAACGUUAGCGUUGCCAUGGAUACAUGAGUGUUAAAUUCUGUCCAUGUUUCCAUUUUGGCAAAUGUAGUCCAGUUCCAGAAUGUGGAGGAAUUUAGUCUCACAAUCACAGACAACAAAUAUUAUCUGAAAGUCGGGUUAUUGUUGUUUAUCAGCACAAUACAAAAAGAUUAAUGUUAGAAAUAUUCCAGUUAAUACUCUAGAAUAUCACGAUUUAUGUAAAUUUACCUCAAUAAUAUGAAUGUUCAGGUUAAGAUUGUACAGUGAUAUUUAUUAUGUAAGUUUAGCUGAUUAAAGUUUAUGACUCUGCACUGAAAUAUUAUUUAAAUUGACAUCAUUAUUAUAGUAUUUAGGGUCAGACCCUACAGUAUUGAGAUUAAGAAAUCAAAUAUUCUAUAAAAUGUAAAUACACUGAACUCAUUUGGAUAUAUUUAAGUGAGACUAUACAAUAUUAUUUGACACAAAUCUACCUAAAUCAAAAUUUUAAUAAUUUUCACAUCAAACAUUUAGUGGACUGAUUUAAAUAUUAAAAUCACUCCUUUCUAAUCCUCUGCUGUACGUUCAAACCUGAGGCCUUAAAUAGAAACACACAAGUAUCUGAUUGAAGGAACUUCUGCAGAGUCCUGGUUCCAGAACAUGAUGAUAGAAUUAUAGACAAACUUUAACAAAAGCUGCCUGAGAGUUUACAGGUUUUUAUGUUAGAUUUCUUCAGUAAUUUAAUGAGUUAUCAGCAAAAAUCAAGUGUUCAUUUGAUGAACUUCAUUUCCUAAAACAUCCAGAAUUGGAGCUCAUACCUUUUAGAGCUGUAAAGUUUCUGCUCCUUCAAAGUUCACAACACAAUGAAUGAAUUCCUAAAACACUCUCAAUGCUGGAGAGCGUUUGUGAUGCUGAAGCAGUGACCAGUUUUUCUGUUUCUUCUCUGGAGAUGCACAUUGAGGGACGUCUGCAGCAACUGAGAAAGAGUCUCACCACAUCCUGACAUGAGGAAAAAGACUUUAUUGAAGACUGCAAUGAGAAAAACUAUCAGACAGCAGACGGCUGCAUUCAAGGUGAGCUCUGAACAUUUGAUCUGGAACAGGAAUUCAAUCACAGCAGCAUGAGCUUCAUUUCAGUCUGUAGCUGCUGAAUUCAUGGAUAAAUCAUCUGGCACUAGAGAGGAAGACCAUCAAACAGCCACGUCAGCUGAUGGAGGUCCAACAGUCUCACCAAACAAACAACCUACAGAGUGAAGACCUCAAAUCUGAUUGGACGGCCUCCUAUUCAGCCACUUUAGGCUGUUAGGUUGUUCCAGAUAAGACGAGUACAAGAUUCUUCAGAGCCGUUCUACCACGAGCCUGACAGGAAGAACUCCAACAGCUACUGAAUGUUCCUGUGGUCCCCUCAAGGCUACAGGAGGAGUCCUACGAGGACGAGCCGGUCCACCUGAUGGAGGCCAGUCGCUGUGGUUCAAAGCCAACACCGACUAUGUGGACUUCUACUGGACCACAGGGAGGCCUUCAAACCGGACCAACAAGUUCAUCGACUCCCCGACUCGUGGGUCUGAGGACGCCGCCGAGCCUCGGCCCAGCCGGCCACCUUUCUGUGGGUGUUUGAGUGCUGAGAGGUUUGUGGAUGCAUGUGAACGUUCUGUGUUGAAACAGCAGCUUUGGACUCAGUAACGCCGGGAAAAACCAAGAGCUCCUUUAUUUGUGACUUCCACUAAAAAAAACUGAUGAAAAUAAGUUUGCCAGGGUUCUGACUGAUAACAGAUUAUUAAAUAAUGAAAAUAACAUUUUAAAUGUUCCUUUAAACAAUCCUUUUAUGUCUACAUUUCCUUUACACUGACUUCUUGGUAUAUGUACAAGUAUUUUGGGUGGAAUAUACCAUUAAGCCCAAUGUUCAAGGGUUCUUCUGGGAAUAUACCAUUAAAGCAACCUUUUAGGUAAAUGUUCCAGGAUGUUGGGUAGAAUAUACCAUCAGAUCAACCUUUUAGGUCUACAUUGGAAGAUUUUAGAGUAGAAUAUUAAUCCAAACCAUCCUUUAGGUCUACAUUUAAGGUGGAAUACUCCUUUACACCAAGAUUUUUUGGUCUACAUUGAAAGAUUUUAGGUGAAAUAUUCCUUUGAACGAACUUUUUAAGUUUAUGUUCAAGGAUGUUGGGUGGAAUAUACCAUCAGACCAACCUCCAAGGUCUACAGUAGUGGAUUUUAGGUGGAAUAUACCAUUAAACUCACCUUUUAGGUCUACAUUGGAGGAUUUUAGGUGGAAUUUUCUUCCAAACCGUCUUUUAGUCUACAUUUAAGGAUGUUUAGGAUGGUAUAUUCUUCCAAACCAACUUCUCAGGUAUACAUUUCAGGUGGAAUGUUCCUCCAUACUAACUUUUUUGGUCUACAUUGAAUGAUUUUUUUCUAAACCACCCUUUCAGGUCUAUAUUUGGGGUUUUAGGUGGAAUAUUCCUUUUAACCAGCCCCUCAGGUCUCUUUGAGGAUUUUGGAUGGAAUACUCGGUUAAACCAACAUUUUAGGUGCAUGUCCAAGGAUUUUUGGUGGAAUGUUUCUUUAAGGUGGAUGUUUGAGGACCUUGUAGGUGGAAUACUUCCAGAAACCAACCUUUUAGGUCAACAUUCAAAGAUUUAAGGUGGAAUAUUCCUUUAAACCAACCUAAAUUUCAUGUUUUGAUCAUUAUCAAGUGAGAAACCUCAAUCCAGACUCCUCAUAAUGACGCUUAAGAUUUAUGCUGCUGUUAUUUGUUUAGUCCAGACUAAAUGACAGAAAAUCCACAACUGUAAUUUUAUUUCAGGACUCGGUUAUUAAAUGUCAAAACAAUCUAUGUGACUCUAAACACUCAACAGCUUUACAAACUCUAAGAUUAAACUCUCCACAAGGAUCCAAAACAAGUUGGAUUUCUACAUGAGAGCUUUAAUUAUUCUUCAUCUACUUCCUGAAAAGUUUGGUCAAUAAAAAAGACAAAAACUAAUAUUUUCAGUUCAACUAAAGACAGACUUUGUGAUUUUUCUGCUUACAUGUUGUGUUGUUGUAAACUUCCUCUUUCAAUUAAAUAGCCACCUAACCUCCUGGAAACCAGCUUUUGUCCUGUUUUUGUGUUGCUCCUCCGUGACCCUAGACAGCCGGGUCGUAAUGUUUUUUGAGCAACACACCAUACUAUGACGUUUUUACAAUGAUGGUUCUACUAUGGAACCAGUUUGACGUGUUCAGGUGUUCUUUGUGUGAAAACUCAGAGAUUUCAGGUAUCAGAGGUGGUUUUCAACUUUCUUUGUUAACUUUCUGCUUCAACUUUAAACUAAAUUUCCUUCACUAACCCAGCCCUCUGGACUUCCAGUAAGCUGUGUUCCUAUUGGCUGUCCAGGUGGCUGCUUGGUGUUAUCAGGAACACCUGAGCAGCUCAGUGUCUUCCUGCUUUAUUUAGCUGCAGCCAAACAUUUCAUCUGUUUCUCUUCACCACUGAACCGGGUUUGGCUCCUGUUGCUUUAGUUUGUCUUUUAGGCAUUGGCUUGCAGCUUCCAGCAGUAAAAUCGUCUUUAAUGUGUUUCUUGGUGUGUUUUAGGGCUUUGUACUGGAUAGUUGUCUUGGUAAAUGUGGUUCUUUAGCCACAGUUAGCACAUGGUGCAGUGAUUAGUGGAUUUGGUACAGCUGAGUUGUGUCUUUAUCUUGGCUGUAGUGAGUCUUUAGAGGUUUUUGGUCAGACACAUUCUGCAUGUUUGUGAACCAACGUUGGUUGUCCAGAAGGUAAGAGUUCCUGUCCUGAUUCUCUGUUCUCAGAGGUUAUCUGGUAGGCUGCAGGAGACUUUAGCGUUUGGGUUGUGCUAGUUUGGUUUUUGUACAGUUUCAUUUGGAUGACUAUCUUGAGGCCCCUCCAUGUGGUUUAGUGAGGUUUUCUGCAACAGUUCUACAAAGCAACCUGCAGCAGAAGAGACUUUGAGAGUUUUUAACAAGUUCUGGAGAGCAGACUUUAGAGCAGCAGAAACAUUUGUCAGCAGUUUGAGCAGGAGAAGGUGAGCUUCAGAGUAGAAAUGAGACAGAAACCUUCUUGACCCGUGUGGUGAGGUCCUGUAUGAAGAGUUUGAGCAGGUUGUGAAGAGUCUGUAGUUCUUUGGUCUGAAAGCACAAGAAGAGUCGACUCAUUAAAGGAGAAAACAGGAGAUAUUGUUGGUUCUUCUGUCGCUCUGCAGUUUCCUUAGACUGAAUAUCAAGUUUAUAUUUUAAAUGAUUUAACAUGUGAGCCCAAGAAGACUUCAAUAAACUCCCUCCAUCCCCUGGACACAACAUAUUUUUAUUACCAUGUUAAAUCUUUUAAUUAUAGUUUUAGCAUAGUUUUUUUUUUUCUCUUUGCUUGUUCAGUUUUGUCAUCUGUGUGAAAGGUGCUAAACAAAUAAAGUUGAAUUGAUAAACU